UUGGAGGGCAAGUCUGGUGCCAGCAGCCGCGGUAAUUCCAGCUCCAAUAGCGUAUAUUAAAGUUGCUGCAGUUAAAAAGCUCGUAGUUGAAUUUCGGGACCAUCAUGUCGGUCGUGCCUCGGUACGCACUGGCAUCGUCGGUUUCUCCCUUCUGACGAACAUGAUGUCAUUUAUUUGGUGUUGUGGGGAAUCAGGACUGUUACUUUGAAAAAAUUAGAGUGUUUAAAGCAGGCUCACGCUUGAAUACAUUAGCAAGGAAUAAUGAAAUAGGACGUUUGAUUCUAUUUUGUUGGUUUCUAGGAUCGACGUAAUGAUUAAUAGGGAUAGUUGGGGGCAUUAGUAUUCAAUUGUCAGAGGUGAAAUUCUUGGAUUUAUUGAAGACUAACUACUGCGAAAGCAUUUGCCAAGGAUGUUUUCAUUAAUCAAGAACGAAAGUUAGGGGAUCGAAGACGAUCAGAUACCGUCGUAGUCUUAACCAUAAACCAUGCCGACUAGGGAUCGGAUGAUGUUAAUUUUUUAAUGACUCAUUCGGCGCCUUACGGGAAACCAAAGUGUUUGGGUUC
rnacentral:rRNA from 1 species